rnacentral:lncRNA from 10 species
GCAGAACUCCUUUUCUGAGAGUUCUUACUUCUAACAAGGAAGAAGACUUUCCUGCUUCCGUGAUGGCAGAGAGCAGUUUUCAGCUUGUGCCCCAUCUCCAGAAUACAGAAUCUAAAGGGGUAUCAGCCAGCCUCCCUAACACAGAGAUACAGAAUGUCUGAGGUAUUGCCUUUGUCUCCAAGAAGAAUGGCUGGAGCAGUAGCUACCACUUUGUGACCAAGAAGGAAAGGCUGAGAGAAUCACAGAGACCUUAACUCUGGUGUCAUUGAACUACCCGCUUUCAGACUCCUCACUAUGUGAGAAAAAUGACUCCCCAAUUUGCCUGAGCCUCUGUUUCUUAGGUUUCUAAAUAGACAGCCAAAUGUAAUUCUGAAUCAAUACAAAUAAAAAUGUUAAAACCUCUCAGAGGUA